CCUGCCCUUAGAGGCACUGCAGGUGUGGCUGCUGUGCCACAUGUGUCAGUAGGUGGCAAAGAGGACAGAGGCUAUGUCUAUGAUCAGUGUUCUGACCUAUGAACAUCUGAAUAAUUAUUAGCCUAACACU